rnacentral:rRNA from 1 species
UCAAGUAAUUAAGUGCAUGUGGUGGAUGCCUUGGCAGUCAGAGGCGAUGAAAGACGUGAUAGCCUGCGAAAAGCUCCGGGGAGGCGGCAAAUAUCCUUUGAUCCGGAGAUGUCUGAAUGGGGAACCCACCUACUUUAAGGUAGGUAUUGCAACAUGAAUACAUAGUGUUGCAAGGCGAACGAGGGGAAGUGAAACAUCUCAGUACCCUUAGGAAAAGAAAUCAAUUGAGAUUCCCUCAGUAGCGGCGAGCGAACGGGGAUCAGCCCAUUAAGUUAUGUGUGUUUUAGUGGAACGCUCUGGGAAGUGCGAACGUAGAGGGUGAUAUUCCCGUACACGAAAGGGCACACAUAAUGAUGACGAGUAGGGCGAGGCACGUGAAACCUUGUCUGAAUAUGGGGGGGACCAUCCUCCAAGGCUAAAUACUCCUGACUGACCGAUAGUGAACCAGUACCGUGAGGGAAAGGCGAAAAGAACCCCUGUGAGGGGAGUGAAAUAGAUCCUGAAACCGCAUGCAUACAAGCAGUGGGAGCACCUUUGUGGUGUGACUGCGUACCUUUUGUAUAAUGGGUCAGCGACUUAUAUUCAGUAGCGAGGUUAACCGUAUAGGGGAGCCGUAGAGAAAUCGAGUCUUAAUAGGGCGUUUAGUUGCUGGGUAUAGACCCGAAACCAGGCGAUCUAUCCAUGAGCAGGUUGAAGGUUGGGUAACACUAACUGGAGGACCGAACCCACUGUCGUUGAAAAGCCAGGGGAUGACUUGUGGAUAGGGGUGAAAGGCUAAUCAAGCCUGGUGAUAGCUGGUUCUCCCCGAAAGCUAUUUAGGUAGCGCCUCGGACGAAUACCAUAGGGGGUAGAGCACUGUUUCGGCUAGGGGGUCAUCCCGACUUACCAAACCGAUGCAAACUCCGAAUACCUAUGAGUACUAUCCGGGAGACAGACUGCGGGUGCUAACGUCCGUAGUCAAGAGGAAAACAAUCCAGACCGCCAGCUAAGGCCCCAAAAUCAUAGUUAAGUGGGAAACGAUGUGGGAAGGCAUAGACAGCUAGGAGGUUGGCUUAGAAGCAGCCACCCUUUAAAGAAAGCGUAAUAGCUCACUAGUCGAGUCGGCCUGCGCGGAAGAUGUAACGGGGCUAAAACUAUGUGCCGAAGCUGCGGAUGUAUACUUUGUAUACGUGGUAGGGGAGCGUUCUGUAAGCCGAUGAAGGUGUGUUGAGAAGCAUGCUGGAGGUAUCAGAAGUGCGAAUGCUGACGUGAGUAACGACAAAACGGGUGAAAAACCCGUUCGCCGAAAGACCAAGGGUUCCAGUCCAACGUUAAUCGGGGCUGGGUGAGUCGACCCCUAAGGCGAGGCCGAAAGGCGUAGUCGAUGGGAAAAUGGUUAAUAUUCCAUUACUUCUGUGUAAUGCGAUGAGAGGACGGAGAAGGCUAAAUCAGCCUGGCGUUGGUUGUCCAGGUGAAAGGAUGUAGGCAUGUAUCUUAGGCAAAUCCGGGGUACUCUAUGCUGAGAUCUGAUAGCAAGCUGUACUUGUACAGCGAAGUGGUUGAUGCCAUGCUUCCAGGAAAAGUCUCUAAGCUUCAGUUACACAGGAAUCGUACCCGAAACCGACACAGGUGGUCAGGUCGAGUAGACCAAGGCGCUUGAGAGAACUCUGCUGAAGGAACUAGGCAAAAUGGUACCGUAACUUCGGGAGAAGGUACGCUGUUGUUGGUGAUGGAACUCGCUUCCUGAGCUGACGACAGCCGCAGAAACCAGGCCGCUGCAACUGUUUAUUAAAAACAUAGCACUCUGCAAACACGAAAGUGGACGUAUAGGGUGUGAUGCCUGCCCGGUGCUGGAAGGUUAAUUGAUGGGGUUAGCGUAAGCGAAGCUCUUGAUCGAAGCCCCAGUAAACGGCGGCCGUAACUAUAACGGUCCUAAGGUAGCGAAAUUCCUUGUCGGGUAAGUUCCGACCUGCACGAAUGGCAUAAUGAUGGCGGCGCUGUCUCCAGCAGAGGCUCAGUGAAAUCGAAAUCGCUGUGAAGAUGCAGUGUACCCGCGGCUAGACGGAAAGACCCCGUGAACCUUUACUGCAGCUUGACACUGAACUUUGACCUUACUUGUGUAGGAUAGGUGGGAGGCUUUGAAGCUGGAACGCUAGUUCCAGUGGAGCCGUCCUUGAAAUACCACCACGGUAAUGUUGAGGUUCUAACUCUGUCCCGUGAUCCGGGACGAGGACCGUGUCUGGUGGGUAGUUUGACUGGGGCGGUCUCCUCCUAAAGAGUAACGGAGGAGUACGAAGGUGCGCUCAGCGUGGUCGGAAAUCACGCGUAGAGUAUAAAGGCAAAAGCGCGCUUAACUGCGAGACCCACAAGUCGAGCAGGUACGAAAGUAGGUCUUAGUGAUCCGGUGGUUCUGUAUGGAAGGGCCAUCGCUCAACGGAUAAAAGGUACUCUGGGGAUAACAGGCUGAUACCGCCCAAGAGUUCAUAUCGACGGCGGUGUUUGGCACCUCGAUGUCGGCUCAUCUCAUCCACGGGGCUGAAGCAGGUCCCAAGGGUAUGGCUGUUCGCCAUUUAAAGAGGUACGCGAGCUGGGUUUAGAACGUCGUGAGACAGUUCGGUCCCUAUCUACCGUGGGCGCUGGAAAUUUGAGAGGAUCUGCUCCUAGUACGAGAGGACCAGAGUGGACGAACCUCUGGUGUACCGGUUGUGACGCCAGUCGCAUCGCCCGGGUAGCUAUGUUCGGAAGGGAUAACCGCUGAAAGCAUCUAAGCGGGAAGCCUACCUCAAGAUAAGAUUUCCCUAGGACUUUAUGUCCUCUAAAGAGCCGUUCGAGACUAGGACGUUGAUAGGUUGGAUGUGGAAGCAUAGUGAUAUGUGAAGCUGACCAAUACUAAUUGCUCGUGAGGCUUGACUA